rnacentral:rRNA from 1 species
GACGAACGCUGGCGGCACGCUUAACACAUGCAAGUCGAACGGAGAUAUUUUGAGUUUACUUAGGAUAUCUUAGUGGCGGACGGGUGAGUAACACGUGAGCAACCUGCCUUGGAGAGAGGGAUAGCUUCUGGAAACGGAUGGUAAUACCUCAUAACAUACAGAGACCGCAUGAUUUCUGUAUCAAAGAUUUAUCACUCUGAGAUGGGCUCGCGUCUGAUUAGCUAGAUGGUGAGGUAACGGCCCACCAUGGCGACGAUCAGUAGCCGGACUGAGAGGUUGAACGGCCACAUUGGGACUGAGACACGGCCCAGACUCCUACGGGAGGCAGCAGUGGGGAAUAUUGCACAAUGGGGGAAACCCUGAUGCAGCGAUGCCGCGUGGAGGAAGAAGGUUUUCGGAUUGUAAACUCCUGUCUUAAAGGACGAUAAUGAC